GACGAACGCUGGCGGCGUGCUUAACACAUGCAAGUCGAGCGGUAAGGCCCUUUCGGGGGUACGACGAGCGGCGAACGGGUGAGUAACACGUGGGUGACCUGCCCUCAGCUCUGGGAUAAGCCUGGGAAACCGGGUCUAAUACUGGAUAUGACUCCAUGACGCAUGUUGUGGGGUGGAAAGCCUUGUGCGGCUGAGGAUGGGCCCGCGGCCUAUCAGCUUGUUGGUGGGGUGANGGCCUACCAAGGCGACGACGGGUAGCCGGCCUGAGAGGGCGACCGGCCACACUGGGACUGAGACACGGCCCAGACUCCUACGGGAGGCAGCAGUGGGGAAUCUUGCGCAAUGGGCGAAAGCCUGACGCAGCGACGCCGCGUGAGGGAUGACGGCCUGGUUGUAACGU
rnacentral:rRNA from 1 species